rnacentral:rRNA from 1 species
GAGUUUGAUCGUGGCUCAGAUUGAACGCUGGCGGCAUGCCUUACACAUGCAAGUCGAACGGCAGCAUGAUCUAGCUUGCUAGAUUGAUGGCGAGUGGCGAACGGGUGAGUAAUACAUCGGAACGUGCCCUGUAGUGGGGAUAACUAGUCGAAAGAUUAGCUAAUACCGCAUACGACCUGAGGGUGAAAGUGGGGGACCGCAAGGCCUCAUGCUAUAGGAGCGGCCGAUGUCUGAUUAGCUAGUUGGUGGGUAAAGGCCCACCAAGGCGACGAUCAGUUAGCUGGUCUGAGAGGACGAUCAGCCACACUGGGACUGAGACACGGCCCAGACUCCUACGGGAGGCAGCAGUGGGGAAUUUUGGACAAUGGGCGAAAGCCUGAUCCAGCAAUGCCGCGUGUGUGAAGAAGGCCUCGGUGUAA